UAAUUUUGAAGAGGUGUGCAUAAAUUUGAGUUAAAAUCAAUAGUUCAUUCAUUAGUUAUUGAGGUUUAAAUUUGCUAUAGGAAUUAAUUGGAGUAUUUAAGAUUUGAUUAGGAUUUGAUUAAGGUUUAUUUAGGAUUUAAUUAGGAUUUAGUUAGGAUUUAUUUAGGAUUGAUUAAGAUAUGAUUAAGGUUUGACUAAGAUUUAGUUAGGAUUUGGUUAGGAUUUGAUUAGGAUUUGAUUAGGAUUUGAUUAGGAUUUGCUUAUGAUUUGACUAGGAUUUGAUUAAGAUUUGUUUAAGAUUUGAUUAUGAUUGUUAGAAUUUGACUAUGGUUUAUUUAGGAUUGGUUAGAUAUUAGUUGGGAUUUGUUUAGGGUUUGGUUAGGAUUUGAUUAAAAUUUGCUUAAGAUUUGAUUAAGAUUUGAUUAGGAUUUAAUUAAGGUUUCUAUUUUAAUAUUUUAUUAAGAUAUUUAUUUUAGUAUAUUUUUGGAUUCCUAUAUUAUUUCUUUAUAAGUUUUUUAAAGGGUCUUUAGGAAUACUUUGUAUUUCUUACAUA
rnacentral:lncRNA from 1 species